rnacentral:rRNA from 1 species
AGUCGAACGGUCUCUUCGGAGAUAGUGGCGGACGGGUGAGUAACGCGUGAGAAUCUAGCUUCAGGUCGGGGACAACCACUGGAAACGGUGGCUAAUACCGGAUGUGCCGAAAGGUGAAAGAUUUAUUGCCUGAAGAUGAGCUCGCGUCUGAUUAGCUAGUUGGUGUGGUAAGAGCGCACCAAGGCGACGAUCAGUAGCUGGUCUGAGAGGAUGAUCAGCCACACUGGGACUGAGACACGGCCCAGACUCCUACGGGAGGCAGCAGUGGGGAAUUUUCCGCAAUGGGCGAAAGCCUGACGGAGCAAUACCGCGUGAGGGAGGAAGGCUCUUGGGUUGUAAACCUCUUUUCUCAGGGAAUAAAAAAAUGAAGGUACCUGAGGAAUAAGCAUCGGCUAACUCCGUGCCAGCAGCCGCGGUAAUACGGAGGAUGCAAGCGUUAUCCGGAAUGAUUGGGCGUAAAGCGUCCGCAGGUGGCACUGUAAGUCUGCUGUUAAAGAGCAAGGCUCAACCUUGUAAAGGCAGUGGAAACUACAGAGCUAGAGUACGUUCGGGGCAGAGGGAAUUCCUGGUGUAGCGGUGAAAUGCGUAGAGAUCAGGAAGAACACCGGUGGCGAAGCGCUCUGCUAGGCCGUAACUGACACUGAGGGACGAAAGCUAGGGGAGCGAAUGGGAUUAGAUACCCCAGUAGUCCUAGCCGUAAACGAUGGAUACUAGGCGUGGCUUGUAUCGACCCGAGCCGUGCCGGAGCCAACGCGUUAAGUAUCCCGCCUGGGGAGUACGCACGCA